UACGUAGGGGGCUAGCGUUGUCCGGAAUCAUUGGGCGUAAAGCGCGCGUAGGCGGCCCGGUAAGUCCGCUGUGAAAGUCAAAGGCUCAACCUUUGUAUGUCAGCGGAUACUGCCAGGCUAGAGUCCGGAAGAGGCGAGUGGAACUCCUGGUGUAGCGGUGGAAUGCGCAGAUAUCAGGAAGAACACCAACGGCGAAGGCAGCUCGCUGGGACGGAACUGACGCUGAGGCGCGAAAGCUAGGGGAGCAAACGGG
rnacentral:rRNA from 1 species